rnacentral:ncRNA from 2 species
GAAGUUCAAUACAGUAAUCAUUUCACGGGAAUGGUGAAGCGGAAAGGGGUGAAAAUCCCCUGCUGUCGCGCAACUGUGAUGGAAACGAAAGCCUGUUUUGCCACUGGGAUAACUGUUUAAACGGUUGAAACGGUUUAAGCCGUUUACACUGUCAACCUGGGAAGGCCGGUGAGUAGGAUGUCCUGAGCCAGGAGACCUCUCAUUCCCCCAACUUCGAU